GGUCAAUAAGUUUUAGAUAAACUUAUACUUUGAAAGUAUGUAAUGAAAGUUAAAUUCUUUCAUUGACUU
rnacentral:tRNA from 1 species